UCCCCGAUAGCUCAGUCGGUAGAGCAGGUGACUGUUAAUCACCUUGUCCCAGGUUCGAGUCCUGGUCGGGGAG
rnacentral:tRNA from 1 species